GCACGGUUAUGGGCCAGGAACGCUCACUGGGCAAUGAAUACAUUGUCACCGAACUUGCCGUAUGUGGGGGCUACUCUGUCAAGGUGAAGGCCCCAGGCAGGCCCCCGAGCAGUCUGAGAAGCCUUAUGUGGGGUUCCCCAAAGGAAUUUUCACGGCGCACUCCACAGCCAGAAGUAAGCAUCUUCUUACUUAGCAAAACAAAAGUUGAUGGACACAGACAGAGAGUCCCACACUGGUGUACCCGUGGUACAAAGAUGUGAGAUUGGGAACAAAGAAAGAAACAGACCACAAUGGGUGGCAGCACGUACCGAUAUUAAAAGGACCAGCAAAUAGUGCAAAAAUGAAAACCAACCAUCAUUGAGAACAGCCCUACACAGGUCAGGGAAGCAUCAGUGACUUUAUGAAAUCUUCUCCCUAUUUGCACAAUUCUUGCAAGUAAUCCAGAAAUCCGGGCCAGUAUGAAUCAUCAAUCUUCACUUCAUGAGAAGAAGCAUCUCUCCAAGGCCGAGAGCAUAGACAUGACUAUAGAACACAGUGGAACUCAGGACAGAAAAUCACCACAGUGUUGAAGGAAGGAGAUCUCUGCCGCUUUUCCAUCUGGGGAAAUACUGACGGAGUUGUGGAGGGGUUCUCUUGGUGCACCGAGUACAUUCUGUAAUGUCUGUGGAAAGAGCGUGGCUGCGUGUCUCUAUGUGUUUUGCAGUCAUUCCUGUCUUCCGGUCUCAAGGACAUAAGCACAGUCAUUUAGUUAACUACCGGAGCCUCGGACUCCCUUUUCUUUGGUAAACACUGCUGUGAGGUCUUUCUGCUUCCUUUUUGCAGCCAUAGUAACCGUUGUUGGGUAAUCCAGGGUUGCUAGACUCCUCAACCGGAGGGAGAUUUUUUUUUAAAACCUAAUGUCAUAUCCAGGCAGGACAAACAAGAAAGGUCCUUUUAACCACACUGAUCUCCUUUACAGCUAUGGUGUUUUAGAAGAAAUUUAUAUGGUCUAAUAUGCCUCUUCCUACUACAUGGGAAAGUGUAAUUCACACACAGAUAUCGGUCUCAAUUCUGAGAAUAAGUGGAAAAAUAAUGAUUGGAGCUAUUACACAUAAAAUGCUUAUGAGGCCAGGAUCCAGUUAAUCCUCACACCUGCCUUAAAGUGGGUACUAACAUGAUGGCCAUUUUACAGAGGACAGAGUUGACGUUUAGCAGUUUGAGCCCCGCGUCAAAGCUGUGUAUCGGCCAAGCUGAGGUUGGGGUUUGAACCCACAGCAGAUGAUUCCAGGCUAGAGUCGGGGCUGUAAAAGGAGUUCGCUAGUGCACCUUAGGUCUAGUUGACAUACCGUCUGCCAUUUGUGUGCAUUCCAUUACCAACUAGCUUUCUAGUUCUAGAGAGAACACCAUGGAUAGGUUCUUCAACUCCUCAUUGAGUGAGGUUUUCCCUAGAAAAUACGGCCCUUCAAGAAACAAGUAAAAUCAAGGCAAACUUUCUCUAAUGGGGAGAAAGGGAGGAUUAACUGCCCAAAGAAGGAAAAGUAAAGGGCUACAGGUCCCCCCCAGCUGGAUGUGGUGGCCACAUGUUCCAGCCCGUGUGACAGCAGAGACAGCCCCGGGGCCGUAAGCGGUCCCGGCUCCUCUGAAGAGUGGCCAGGCAUUUGGGACCUGGGACCACCCGGCACAUGUCACCUAUCGAUCUUCAACAGUGAGCAUCUGGAGUCUCAUCACACUCAAACACAGUCUGCUGCUUUAUCAUGACACGAUCUCAGCCACCUUUAUACGUAAGGAGACAAUAUGGAGAAUGAAGGAGGGCAGUCUUCUAAAAAGUUGUAUUUAUUUGUUUGAGGGGCUCUAAUCUCCCAAGUGGACUUUCCCAGAGGCACCCGU